UCAUCCGACACAACGACGCUGUAUGGUGAAUGGCUUGGCUUGGGAUGGCGACGAAGGGCGCGGUAAGCUGCGAUAAGCUCCGGGGAGACGCAAGCAAUCUUCGAUCCGGAGAUACCCGAAUAGAGUCCAAUCCACGGGGACUGCCGCAAGGCAUCCCUGUGUUCCGCAAGGAACGCAAACCCUGGGGAAGGAAACAUCUGAGUACCAGGAGGAAAAGAAAUCAAUUGAGAUCCCGUUAUGUAGGGGCGACCGAACACGGGAGAGCCCAAACCGAAUCCUUGCCCGAAAGGGCCGGGAGAUGUGGGGUUCGCAUCAGCAUAUGCAACCUUGAGAACGCGCGGCCGAACUUGCCUGGAAAGGCAGACAAAAUAAGGUGAUAGUCCUGUAGGCUGUUCGAGCUCGUGGUUGCGCUGCGUGCAGAGUACCUGGCUUUGGCAGUGGCUAGGGAAGAUGGGGGAAAGCAGCCCCCAAGGCUAAACACAACCCAAGACCGAUAGAGCACUAGUACCGCGAGGGAAAGCUGAAAAGUACCCCGAAAGGGGUGUGCAAAGAGCCUGAAACCAUCCAGCUACAGACGUGCACGGCAUGAAAGGGGUGUGAUUCCACCGCGAUUUCCCGUAAGGGAGCUCAAGGUGGGUUAAGCGCCCCAGUGUCGUGCUUUCCGUCUAGAAACACGGGCCGGGGAGUUAACUGUCAUGGCGAGCCUAAGGGUUAGAAGCCCGGAGGCGAAGCGAAAGCGAUUCUGCGUAGCUCGCAAGAGUGUGGCAGGAGGUCUGAAAGGGCCUUGGAGUCAUGGCGGUUUAGACUAGAAACCGAACGAUCGUGGCCAGAACAAGUUGAAGCCGGGCGAAAGCCUGGUCGAAGACUGCAAGGGUCUUAACGUGCAAUUUAGUCCCCUGAUUCUGGCCAAGGGGCCAAAAGCCUAUCUAGUUCGGUGAUUGCUAGUUCCCAUCGAAGCGGAUCCCAGUCCUGUCUCCACCGAUGGUAGUUCACGCCGUAGAGCACCAACGAGAAAACAAGGAUCCGAAAGGGUCCACUUUCUUCUUGAACUCCGAAUGUGUGAACGCAGUAGACGUGGGGAGGCGGGUUUAUGUGGGGUAAGCCUCAUAACCGAGAGGGGGUUAACCCAGACUAGAGUUAAGGUCCCCAAAUUUUGGCUAAGUGUCAAGCAAAAGGGAGUCUUUGACCUAAAACAGCAGGGAGGUAAGCUUAGAAGCAGCUACCCUUCAAAGAAAGCGUAACAGCUCACCUGCCGAGGUUGAGGGCCCUGAAAAUGGACGGGGCUAAAGCCAAGUACCGAUACUCUGGACAACCAUUCUGUGAAUGGUUUGUGGUAGAUGGGCGUGGUGACUGGGUAGAAGCUGGGUCGUGAGAUCCAGUGGACCGGUCUCCAGUGCAGAUCCCGGUAGUAGUAGCAGCGUAGUCGGGUGAGAAUCCUGACCGCCGAAAGGACACGGUUUUCCUGGCAAUGCGUCAUCAGCCAGGAGUUAGCCGAUCCUAAGAGCAAACUCAACAGUAUUGCUCGAAUGAGGGAAUGCGGUUAAUAUUCCGCAGCCUUUGUUAUUCCGAUGUCCCGCAAGGGACGACAUCACCUUAGAUGCUUUGAGACAAGCCUUACAGAGUUAUUCGCUCUGUUUAAUCAUCCAAGAUGUGGGGAGUGUCGUAAUGACGAGAACCACGUCGAGGGGAGAAUAGCGGCCCGUUGGGGUCGUUAGGCCCAUUCCCGGAGACAUUGAAAACUAAGGAGGACAGGGAUAAUGAAGAUCGUACCUAGAUCCGACACCAGUGAUCCUAGGUGAGAAGCCUCAGGCGUGUCGGGGAACCGUAGGUAAGGGAACUCGGCAAAUUAGCCACGUAAGUUAGCGAUAAGUGGUGCCUGCGUUCUUUACGAUGAGUAGGGAUCGCAGGUUGCAAUAACGAGGGGGUCCCGACUGUUUAAUAAAAACACAGUAAACCGCAAGUCCGAAAGGAUGAGUACGGUUUAUGAAUCCUGGCCAGUGCAGGUACCUAAAACCUGGGUUCAACUGGGCUAAGGGCCUGUAAACGCCGGGAGUAACUCUGACUCUCUUAAGGUGACCACAGUUGCCUUAAACAAAUCUGGCCAUAUGCUGGAACAUCUGAGUAUGCCGGGCUAGUCCGCAAGGACUGACAAGGCCAAGGCUGCAGACAAUCAGCAGGAAAGGCUGGACAGAAGAGGAGAUACAAUGCCCAGACAAACAGAACGGAAACCAUGAGUUCCAACGGAACAGGAUGAAAGGAAACAGCAAGGAACAUCUCCAAAAUCUAUUCAGAAUCCUCAGAGACUAUACGCCAGAGUCCGCCGCAAAAAGCGGGCAAGAUAUAGUCCGACCCAUGCAGCGAUGCAUGGAGAUUUGCUUCGCAGCAAGUCCGCCUCGAGAAAUCGAGGUCCACGGAAGUAACAGAGUGAGCCAAAUGCCUUGUCGGGUGAGUUCCGACGUGCAUGAAUGGACCAACGAGGGCCCCGCUGUCCCUAUCUACAACCCGGCGAACCUACGUAAGCUGGACGAACAGUCCAGCAACUUCCAUCGGGGAGAGAAGUCCCUGUGGAGCUUUACUGCAGCUUGUUGCUGCGAUUCGGUUGCGAUUGCAGAGUGUAACGGGUAGCCGUCGAAGCGCUGACUCCGGUUGGCGUGGAGGCAUCAAUGUAACACCCGUCCCUUGCGACUGUAUCGCUAACUCCUACGGGAGGACACCGGCAGGUGGGCAGUUCGGCUGGGGCGGCACCCCCUUGAAAAGAUAUCGAGGGGGCCCAAAGGUCGACUCAACUGGGUCAGAACUCCAGUGUUGACGGCAAGGCGAAAAGUCGGCCUGACAGGGAACUUAAACGCAGAGUUCUCUGCCACGAAAGUGUGGCCUAGCGAUCCUUCAAGUCCCCACUGUUGGGGGCUGGAGGUGACAGAAAAGUUACCCCAGGGGUAACAGGCUCGUCGCGGGCGAGAGCUCCAAUCGACCCCGCGGUUUGGUACCUUGGACCGAAAGGUCUCGGGGCAAAAUCACGGUAACGCGAUUUGAAGCAUUGGCUUAUAACGGCGAACUCCUCCUCUCGGGAACACUGAGGAAACGAGAAAGGACAACGCCGUGGGAAGUCUAUGGGUAACCCCGGAGUACAUCCGGGGCAGAAGAGCGAGCAAUGUCGGCUUAGCGGCCGGCGCAAGGCACAGAAAACAGAAAGCAGCCAAGUAAAGUUCGCUCCACUAAGGGCACUUCUAAUCUGAUGGAUGGGUUACAGGAUGGUUGAAACAUCUUCCGGCAGCGGUAUCCGCUCCGGGGUGUGAACUUCGGGCGGAUGCUUGCAAGCGGGCACAACCAGCACAGACGCUGUCCUGCCAUAGGGCGGGCCGGUAUCGGUGCAGGCUGUGGUAAACUAUCAACAGGUAGAAACGAUCUUCCCAUAUGACCCCGUAACGACUGAGCGCGCAGAAAAGUGCGUGAUGAGAUAGCAUGGAGCUGUCUCCCGACGCGAUACGUUCCGACGUGUCGCGACAAACAUCGGGAGGCCGCGUAAGGGGCUCCAGGUUAUCAUACGCCAACCCCUCCGAUCGAAGGCCGGCCGCAAGCCGGUCCAGAGAGUGCAAGGAGGGUGAAGACAUAGUCUAAUCCUGAGAGAAAUCUUAGAUAAGAUUGCGAUGUCGGCUCUUCCCAUCCUGGUCCUGCAGCAGGGGCCAAGGGUGGGGCUGCUCGCCCAUUAAAGGGGAACGUGAGCUGGGUUUAGACCGUCGUGAGACAGGUCGGCCUCUACCUGAUGGAAGCGGAAGUCGACUGCGAGGAAGCACUGCCUAGUACGAGAGGAACAGCGGUGCGUAGCCUCUGGCGUACCGGUCGUCCGAAAGGGCGCAGCCGGGCAGCUAAGCUAUCGUGGAUAACUGCUGAAAGCAUCUAAGCAGGAAGCCACUCUCAAGAAGAGUCGACUGUCGACUAAAGCUUUCCCUCGCAAGGGGGAGAGCCAAGUCGAGAAGGGCUGCGAUAGAAGAUCGCGUUGAAGUGGGAGCGGUGUACGCAAGAAGCCUUCGGGCGACUUGUUCAGCUGGUCUCCUAACUAUCGCCCAACGUGUGGAUGAU
rnacentral:rRNA from 1 species